rnacentral:tRNA from 1 species
GGAAUGUGGCUUAGUGGUAAGAGUACUUGCCUAGCAUGCAUGAAGCCCUAGGUUCCAUUCCUUGAUACCA